rnacentral:tRNA from 1 species
GGGGCCGUAGUCUAGCCAGGUAUGACGACAGAUGAAAGAUCCGCCAAGGGCUCCAGAAAUAAACUAUGGGUUUACCGACCUAAAAAGGAAUGAAGAAUUUCAGGAGCGAAGAAACCCGUAGGUCGAGGGUUCAAAUCCCUUCGGCCCCACCA